AGGACGAACGCUGGCGGCGUGCUUAACACAUGCAAGUCGAGCGGAAAGGCCCUUCGGGGUACUCGAGCGGCGAACGGGUGAGUAACACGUGAGUAAUCUGCCCCUAGCUCUGGGAUAGCUCCGGGAAACCGGGAUUAAUACCGGAUACGACCACCUUAGACAUCUUUUGUGGUGGAAAGAAUUUCGGCUAGGGAUGAGCUCGCGGCCUAUCAGCUUGUUGGUGGGGUAACGGCCUACCAAGGCGACGACGGGUAGCCGGCCUGAGAGGGCGACCGGCCACACUGGGACUGAGACACGGCCCAGACUCCUACGGGAGGCAGCAGUGGGGAAUAUUGCGCAAUGGGCGAAAGCCUGACGCAGCGACGCCGCGUGGGGAUGAAGGCCUUCGGGUUGUAAACCCUUUCAGCAGGGACGAAGCGAAAGUGACGGUACCUGCAGAAGAAGCGCCGGCUAACUACGCGCCAGCAGCCGC
rnacentral:rRNA from 1 species